rnacentral:rRNA from 1 species
AUUGAACGCUGGCGGCAGGCUUAACACAUGCAAGUCGAGCGGGGGAAGGUAGCUUGCUACCGGACCUAGCGGCGGACGGGUGAGUAAUGCUUAGGAAUCUGCCUAUUAGUGGGGGACAACAUCUCGAAAGGGAUGCUAAUACCGCAUACGUCCUACGGGAGAAAGCAGGGGAUCUUCGGACCUUGCGCUAAUAGAUGAGCCUAAGUCAGUUUAGCUAGUUGGGGGGGUAAAGGCCUACCAAGGCGACGAUCUGUAGCGGGUCUGAGAGGAUGAUCCGCGACACUGGGACUGAGACACGGCCCAGACUCCUACGGGAGGCAGCAGUGGGGAAUAUUGGACAAUGGGGGGAACCCUGAUCCAGCCAUGCCGCGUGUGUGAAGAAGGCCUUAUGGUUGUAAAGCACUUUAAGCGAGGAGGAGGCUACUUUAGUUAAUACCUAGAGAUAGUGGACGUUACUCGCAGAAUAAGCACCGGCUAACUCUGUGCCAGCAGCCGCCGUAA